GACGAACGCUGGCGGCGUGCUUAACACAUGCAAGUCGAACGAAGUGGCGAACGGGUGAGUAACGCGUAAUCAACCUGCCCUUCAGAGGGGACAACAGUUGGAAACGACUGUUAAUACCGCAUACUGAAGGCGGGGAUUGCGUCUGAUUAGCUAGUUGGAGGGGUAACGGCCCACCAGGGCGAUGAUCAGUAGCCGGGCUGGGAGGAUUAACGGCCGACUUGGGAAUGGGAAACGGCCCAGACUCCUACGGGAUGCAGCAGUGGGGAAUCUUCCGAAAUGGACGAAAGUCUGAAGGAGCAACGGCGCGUGAGUGAUGACGGCCUUCGGGUUGGAAAGCUCUGUUAAUCGGGACGCGGUACCGGAAUAGAAAGCCACGGCUAACUACGUGCCAGCAGCCGCGGUAAUAC
rnacentral:rRNA from 1 species